rnacentral:rRNA from 1 species
UACGUAGGGUGCGAGCGUUAAUCGGAAUUACUGGGCGUAAAGCGUGCGCAGGCGGUUUUGUAAGCCGGAUGUGAAAUCCCCGGGCUUAACCUGGGAAUGGCAUUCGGGACUGCAAGGCUGGAGUGCGGCAGAGGAGACUGGAAUUCCUGGUGUAGCAGUGAAAUGCGUAGAUAUCAGGAAGAACACCCGUGGCGAAAGCGGCUCUCUGGAACGGUACUGACGCUGAGACGCGAAAGCGUGGGGAGCGAACAGG